ACAAGCGGUGGAGUAUGUGGUUAAUUCGAUGCAACGCGAAGAACUUACCUGGGCUCGAACGUAAGAUGACUGUAGGUGAAAGCUUACAUCUCUUCGGAGCAUUUUACGAGGUGCUGCAUGGUUGUCGUCAGCUCGUGCCGUGAGGUGUCGGGUUAAGUCCCAUAACGAGCGCAACCCCUACCUUUAGUUGCCAUCAGGUAAUGCUGGGGACUCUAAAGGAACUGCCUACGCAAGUAGUGAGGAAGGCGGGGAUGACGUCAAAUCAGCACGGCCCUUACGUCCAGGGCUACACACGUGCUACAAUGGCCGAUACAGAGGGCAGCUACCUGGUGACAGGAUGCAAAUCUCCAAAGUCGGUCUCAGUUCGGAUCGGAGUCUGCAACCCGACUCCGUGAAGUUGGAUUCGCUAGUAAUCGCGCAUCAGCCAUGGCGCGGUGAAUACGUUCCCGGGCCUU
rnacentral:rRNA from 1 species